rnacentral:rRNA from 1 species
UACGUAGGGGGCUAGCGUUGUCCGGAAUCAUUGGGCGUAAAGCGCGUGUAGGCGGUUCGGUAAGUCCGCUGUGAAAGUCGGGGGCUCAACCCUCGAAAGCCGGUGGAUACUGUCGGACUAGAGUACGGAAGAGGCGAGUGGAAUUCCUGGUGUAGCGGUGAAAUGCGUAGAUAUCAGGAGGAACACCGAUGGCGAAGGCAGGUCUCUGGGCCACUACUGACGCUGAGAAGCGAAAGCAUGGGGAGCGAACAGG